rnacentral:rRNA from 1 species
GACGAACGCUGGCGGCGUGCUUAACACAUGCAAGUCGAGUGGUAAGGCCCUUCGGGUACGACGAGCGGCGAACGGGUGAGUAACACGUGGGUGACCUGCCUCUAGCUCUGGGAUAAGCCUGGGAAACUGGGUCUAAUACCGGAUAUGACUCCACGGCGCAUGUUGUGGGUGGAAAGCCUUGUGUGGCUAGAGAUGGGCCCGCGGCCUA